GUCCCUGCUCAUUUUGAGGAUGCAUCACAACAGGAAACUGCUAUCCCUCUAAAUUUCUGUCUUUACCAGCCUGCUGAAUCCCAGCCUGAAGAGACUGGAUUACUGCUGUGGAAGGCCUGUAUAGAGCCAGCAAGGUACAGCUCACCUGGAACAGAGGACAGCCUGUGACUCUGCAACUCGCCUGGGCAGACAGGUUCUC
rnacentral:lncRNA from 1 species